rnacentral:rRNA from 1 species
UACGUAGGGGGCAAGCGUUGUCCGGAAUCAUUGGGCGUAAAGCGCGCGUAGGCGGCCCGGUAAGUCCGCUGUGAAAGUCAAAGGCUCAACCUUUGAAUGUCAGCGGAUACUGCCGGGCUAGAGUCCGGAAGAGGCGAGUGGAAUUCCUGGUGUAGCGGUGAAAUGCGCAGAUAUCAGGAGGAACACCAAUUGCGAAGGCAGCUCGCUGGGACGUUACUGACGCUGAGACGCGAAAGCGUGGGGAGCAAACAGG